GGAGAGAUGUCCGAGUGGUCGAAGGAGCACGACUGGAAAUCGUGUGUACAUUCAUCGUGUACCGAGGGUUCGAAUCCCUCUCUCUCCGCCA
rnacentral:tRNA from 1 species